rnacentral:rRNA from 1 species
AAUCAACGCUGGCGGCGUGCCUAACACAUGCAAGUCGAACGAGAAAGGGGACUUCGGUCCCUGAGUACAGUGGCGCACGGGUGAGUAACACGUGACUUAUCUACCCUCGAGUGGGGAAAUAACUUCGGGAAACCGAGGCUAAUACCGCAUAAUACCCACGGGUCAAAGGAGCAAUUCGCUUGAGGAGGAGGUCGCGGCCCGAUUAGUUAGUUGGCGGGGUAAUGGCCCCCACCAAGACGGUGAUCGGUAUCCGGCCUGAGGAGGGCGCACGGACACACUGGAACUAGAAACACGGUCCAGACUCCGUACGGGAGGCAGCAGGUGGGGUAAUUUUGCGCAAUGGGGGAAACCCUGACGCAGCAACGCCGCGUGGAGGAUGAAGUCUCUUGGGACGUAAACUCCUUUCGAUCGGGACGAUUAUGACGGUACCGGAAGAAGAAGCCCCGGCUAACUUCGUG